AAUGGGUGGUCCUAAUGGAAACUCAAGGUUUGAAAGGCAGUGAUGUAAGACAAGCAACCCUAGAGAAAGAAGCGGCUGUCACAAAGGCCAGACCCAAAUGCCAUGUUAAGAGAUGGAUGAAGACUAGGAACUGUAGAGAAGGGUAGAACCAGUGUUAACUUCAGCUGAUGUACAUGCUUCUGCCAAAUAAAACUGCACAGCAGUAAAACAGGCAGAGAAGAAAGAAUCAACAGCAAAGGUAGAACUGGAACCAUGGAAAUCUCCAGGAGAGAGAUACUUCUGCCUCUGAAUGUUUUCAGAAGAGUAACUUCUGCUCCUCUCUCUCCCAACCUUGUGGAGGAGUGACCUGAUGGCUAAAUUGAGAAUAGAACUGCAAUUCAUGGUUCUCUCUCUGUGGCUACAGGGCAAGGAGCCAUGGAAACUGAAGGAAACUUGGACUGGACAUCAGAGACCAUAGGAGCUGACCUGUAGAGCCCCUUGACUUUACCGGUUAGGUUCAAAAGCUAACCACCAAAUACUAGGGCUAGUGCUUCUUUCAGUGUGCUACCCUCCUCUCUUCUUUCUUCAUCAGUCCUGAGGCAAGCAGGCCCACGCUGCUAAUCCCAAGUUGACCCAGGAGUACACUAAGGCUUGGACAGUUUAGUUGAUCUACCCAAGAACACAGGAACACUCCUGACUUCCAGCCCAGUGUGGUUUCCAUUAGACAUUCUUGCCAUGGCAUGAAAACCACAAUGAGGUCAGGCAGAUAGCUCUGCAACCUGGAACUCUGAGUGAAAUCGGUUAUGACUGCAGCUGACAUACACGGCCCCAUACAGCCCAGCAAGGAAGGGGGCAAAGGUCACACCAAGUCAGGACAGAGGCUGUGCCUCUGCUGUGUUCAGGAAACCUUGAGACAAAUUUCUUCUCCAAUAACAACUCCCUGAUGUAAACUAACCAAAAGAAAGCAAACCCAAGUUUCUGCAUAUUUUAAUUGUUUUGUAUGAUUUUUGCUGGUCUUAGAGUGCUUGUGAGUCAGAAGCAAUUUCAGGAAAUGCUGCCCAUGUCACCAGCUGGAAUCCAGGCUCCUGUUCUGCAAGAGCUUUCAGAUGCAGGCACAUGUUUGAGCAUGCGUGCACACACACACACACACACACACACACACACACAAGCUCUCACACAUGCCUACACUCACAUUCACAAACUGGCACAUUCACAUACACUCACAGGCAUACACACACACGUAAACUCAUAUACACAUACAUUCCCACAUGCAGUGGCACACAAAUUCACAUACAUACACAUACUCACAUACUUAUACAAACACACAUGCUCAUAUAUACUCUCACAUAAUACACACAAACCCACAUACACACACCCAAUCAUACUCCCUCAUAUACACACAUACAUUCGCAUACAUACUCAUGCACUCACACAUACCCACACACGUGCACAUGCACACACGUGCAAACACACAGAGCCAAGACUUAGCUGUGGCCAAGUCUUCCUGACACUAAAUAUAAGCAUGAUAUGCUCGGUGCAAAAGGCACUUGUUGCAUGAGAAUUGAAACUGGAUCAAGUCCACUGAUUAUUUAGCUAUUUCCAAAUAUCUGCAUGUUUUGCUUUGUGGACAUCUGAAUAGUUGGCGGGGGCAAGCUUUUCUCUGUACCUCCUUCCCUCUGGGGAUGUGUGAAUCAGUUGUUCCUAACCAUCCCUUCCCACCAAGCCAUAGCAGUGGGAAGUGAGGUCAGUUAACUGUCUCCGUUGCAAAAGGUACACAUAAAAUUGCCGAUUUGAAGGACGGGGGACUGAAGGGACUUUGCAAAGUGACAGCUGCAGCCCCCUGUCUCAGCAGGGGCCAUCCUUCCGGAGGAAGAGAAGCCGACAGCCCUCCCUACUCCCUCCCCACUUUCUCAUAAGUCCUCAACAAAGGUCUGGAAGCCUUCACACCUUCUAGUCUUUCCACAGGGGUACAUCCCAGGCCACAUCACACUUCCACAGGGACUUUGGAUCUCUGCCGAAUCCAGGAGCCUAGGAUACAGUGAUGGCUCUCUGUCUAUGGGAACAAAAUUCUUUCUGUAAAAUGUGAUACAACAUAAUAAACAAAG
rnacentral:lncRNA from 1 species